UAAUCGCAAAUCAGCCAUGUUGCGGUGAAUACGUUCCCGGGUCUUGUACUCACCGCCCGUCACACCAUGGGAGUUGUGUUUGCCUUAAGUCAGGAUGCUAAAUUGGCUACUGCCCACGGCACACACAGCGACUGGGGUGAAGUCGUAACAAGGUAACCGUAGGUGAACCUGCGGUUGGAUCACCUCCUUUCUAGA
rnacentral:rRNA from 1 species